GACAGCCCCGUACACAAAAAUGCACAUGCUGUGAGCUCGAUGAGUAGGGCGGGACACGUGGUAUCCUGUCUGAAUAUGGGGGGACCAUCCUCCAAGGCUAAAUACUCCUGACUGACCGAUAGUGAACCAGUACCGUGAGGGAAAGGCGAAAAGAACCCCGGCGAGGGGAGUGAAAAAGAACCUGAAACCGUGUACGUACAAGCAGUGGGAGCACGCUUAGGCGUGUGACUGCGUACCUUUUGUAUAAUGGGUCAGCGACUUAUAUUCUGUAGCAAGGUUAACCGAAUAGGGGAGCCGAAGGGAAACCGAGUCUUAACUGGGCGUUAAGUUGCAGGGUAUAGACCCGAAACCCGGUGAUCUAGCCAUGGGCAGGUUGAAGGUUGGGUAACACUAACUGGAGGACCGAACCGACUAAUGUUGAAAAAUUAGCGGAUGACUUGUGGCUGGGGGUGAAAGGCCAAUCAAACCGGGAGAUAGCUGGUUCUCCCCGAAAGCUAUUUAGGUAGCGCCUCGUGAAUUCAUCUCCGGGGGUAGAGCACUGUUUCGGCAAGGGGGUCAUCCCGACUUACCAACCCGAUGCAAACUGCGAAUACCGGAGAAUGUUAUCACGGGAGACACACGGCGGGUGCUAACGUCCGUCGUGAAGAGGGAAACAACCCAGACCGCCAGCUAAGGUCCCAAAGUCAUGGUUAAGUGGGAAACGAUGUGGGAAGGCCCAGACAGCCAGGAUGUUGGCUUAGAAGCAGCCAUCAUUUAAAGAAAGCGUAAUAGCUCACUGGUCGAGUCGGCCUGCGCGGAAGAUGUAACGGGGCUAAACCAUGCACCGAAGCUGCGGCAGCGACGCUUAUGCGUUGUUGGGUAGGGGAGCGUUCUGUAAGCCUGUGAAGGUGUGCUGUGAGGCAUGCUGGAGGUAUCAGAAGUGCGAAUGCUGACAUAAGUAACGAUAAAGCGGGUGAAAAGCCCGCUCGCCGGAAGACCAAGGGUUCCUGUCCAACGUUAAUCGGGGCAGGGUGAGUCGACCCCUAAGGCGAGGCCGAAAGGCGUAGUCGAUGGGAAACAGGUUAAUAUUCCUGUACUUGGUGUUACUGCGAAGGGGGGACGGAGAAGGCUAUGUUGGCCGGGCGACGGUUGUCCCGGUUUAAGCGUGUAGGCUGGUUUUCCAGGCAAAUCCGGAAAAUCAAGGCUGAGGCGUGAUGACGAGGCACUACGGUGCUGAAGCAACAAAUGCCCUGCUUCCAGGAAAAGCCUCUAAGCAUCAGGUAACAUCAAAUCGUACCCCAAACCGACACAGGUGGUCAGGUAGAGAAUACCAAGGCGCUUGAGAGAACUCGGGUGAAGGAACUAGGCAAAAUGGUGCCGUAACUUCGGGAGAAGGCACGCUGAUAUGUAGGUGAAGUCCCUCGCGGAUGGAGCUGAAAUCAGUCGAAGAUACCAGCUGGCUGCAACUGUUUAUUAAAAACACAGCACUGUGCAAACACGAAAGUGGACGUAUACGGUGUGACGCCUGCCCGGUGCCGGAAGGUUAAUUGAUGGGGUCAGCGCAAGCGAAGCUCUUGAUCGAAGCCCCGGUAAACGGCGGCCGUAACUAUAACGGUCCUAAGGUAGCGAAAUUCCUUGUCGGGUAAGUUCCGACCUGCACGAAUGGCGUAAUGAUGGCCAGGCUGUCUCCACCCGAGACUCAGUGAAAUUGAACUCGCUGUGAAGAUGCAGUGUACCCGCGGCAAGACGGAAAGACCCCGUGAACCUUUACUAUAGCUUGACACUGAACAUUGAGCCUUGAUGUGUAGGAUAGGUGGGAGGCUUAGAAGUGUGGACGCCAGUCUGCAUGGAGCCGACCUUGAAAUACCACCCUUUAAUGUUUGAUGUUCUAACGUUGACCCGUAAUCCGGGUUGCGGACAGUGUCUGGUGGGUAGUUUGACUGGGGCGGUCUCCUCCUAAAGAGUAACGGAGGAGCACGAAGGUUGGCUAAUCCUGGUCGGACAUCAGGAGGUUAGUGCAAUGGCAUAAGCCAGCUUGACUGCGAGCGUGACGGCGCGAGCAGGUGCGAAAGCAGGUCAUAGUGAUCCGGUGGUUCUGAAUGGAAGGGCCAUCGCUCAACGGAUAAAAGGUACUCCGGGGAUAACAGGCUGAUACCGCCCAAGAGUUCAUAUCGACGGCGGUGUUUGGCACCUCGAUGUCGGCUCAUCACAUCCUGGGGCUGAAGUAGGUCCCAAGGGUAUGGCUGUUCGCCAUUUAAAGUGGUACGCGAGCUGGGUUUAGAACGUCGUGAGACAGUUCGGUCCCUAUCUGCCGUGGGCGCUGGAGAACUGAGGGGGGCUGCUCCUAGUACGAGAGGACCGGAGUGGACGCAUCACUGGUGUUCGGGUUGUCAUGCCAAUGGCACUGCCCGGUAGCUAAAUGCGGAAGAGAUAAGUGCUGAAAGCAUCUAAGCACGAAACUUGCC
rnacentral:rRNA from 1 species